rnacentral:tRNA from 1 species
GGGCCGGUAGCUCAGCCUGGAAGAGCGCUCGGUUUGCACCCGAGAGGACCCGGGUUCAAAUCCCGGCCGGUCCA